rnacentral:rRNA from 1 species
UAAAGUGGCGCACGGGUGAGUAACACGUGACUAACCUACCCUUGAGUGGGGGAGUAACCUCGGGAAACCGGGGCUAAUACCGCAUAAUAUCGAGAGAUCAAAGGAGCAAUUCGCUUAAGGAGGGGGUCGCGGCUGAUUAGCUAGUUGGUGAGGUAAUGGCUCACCAAGGCUAUGAUCAGUAUCCGGCCUGAGAGGGCGCACGGACACACUGGAACUGAAACACGGUCCAG